GAGGAGGCCGACACUCUUUGAGGAAAGAGGGUGCCGCCCCUCUCUUCACACACAAACGCCAAAGAGGAAAGAAAAAGGAACAGAGAGCUUUCUUCUUCUUUCUGUGAUUUCUACCAUCAAAUCUAUAAACAAAAAAUAAAUCAAGUAUUAGUUAGCUAAGAUUAGUAAGUUAAACUAGCAAAUCAAGGGUGUAAUUAGGCUAUAGCUGCAGAAAGGGCAUUUUGUAAACAAGAGAAGGGUGAACCUUCUAAAGUUGAUAAGGGCAAAGGGAAGGCUUGAAUUUGCUAUUGAGCUUGCUAUAGAGUAAUUAGAGACGCUCAAAUUUUGCUCCUAAAGGCUCAGUGAUGAUAAACCAUUUUUCACAUAAGUUUGGAUUGAGAUUCCUGAUCAUCCGAGAUUUGCCAGAGGUUCGGCUUUGCUCGGUUUUACAUUGCCCAGCUCUACUCCGAGCGCCACGAGAGGGACCUGGAGAUCGGGAGGCUGCGGAGGCAUCAGUCUCGCCAGUCUAGUGUUGUGAGCCGACUCUAGGAGGAGAUGGAACGGCUCCGGACGAGGUUGGAGGUAGAGGGGAUCCCCUUAGACUCCUUUGAUGAGGACGAUGACGGCUCUUCCGAUGACGCACCACCAUCUCCACCUCCUCAGGCGGCUGCUGGUCCGAGCCGUAGGCGACGGUAGCCCUGCUCCCGUGUCUCAGCCAUUUUGGAACAUUUUUUGAACAUUUAGUGGUUUUUUAGGAUGAUUGUACGGUUAUACUAUUUUUAUGAUAUCAUUUACACAUUUUUUUUU